GGGGUGGCCGGAUCCUGGGCUGUGUCCCCGGCGCCCUGUGCUCCCGGGCCUGUGCUGUUGGAUUCGCGCUCACGGCUGCGCAGCGCCCC
rnacentral:pre_miRNA from 1 species